GUCACGGAAACACCGUGGCCGGGUUUGGCGACCCGAUUAUUAGGAGGCGGACGAGCCGCCGCAUGUGCGGCUUUUUC
rnacentral:sRNA from 1 species